rnacentral:rRNA from 2 species
GUUUCCGUAGGUGAACCUGCGGAAGGAUCAUUGUCGA